rnacentral:rRNA from 1 species
GACGAACGCUGGCGGCGUGCCUAAUACAUGCAAGUCGAACGCUGAAGGCGGAGCUUGCUUCUCUGGAUGAGUUGCGAACGGGUGAGUAACGCGUAGGUACCCUGCCUGGUAGCGGGGGAUAACUUUUGGAAACGAUAGCUAAUACCGCAUAAGAGUAGAUGUUGCAUGACAUUUGCUCAAAAGGUGCAAUUGCAUCACUACCAAAUGCACCUGCGUUGUAUUAGCUAGUUGGUGGGGUAACGGCUCACCAAGGCGACGAUGCAUAGCCGACCUGAGAGGGUGAUCGGCCAAGCUGGGCCGGGGACACGGCCCAGACUCCUACGGGUGGCAGCAGUAGGGAAUCUUCGGCAAUGGACGGAGGUCUGACCGAGCAACGACGCGUGAGUGAAGAAGGGAUUCGGAUCGUAAAGCUCAGUUGUAAGAGAAGAACGUGUAGGAGAGUGGAAAGUGCACACUGUGACGGUAUCUUACCAGAAAGCGACGGCUAACUACGUG